CAGACACCUGGGGCUUCGGUCUCCCAGUCUGGUUGUCACUGGUCCCCGAGGCCCCUCACUGCUCAGAGCUGACUCCACACCGGCAGCCCCCAGCUGUUCCCCCCCGCUCUCCUGGGGAGGUGACCCCACACCACCUUCCCGCUUCCCAUAAUCAAUCAGGCGCCCAUGGGGGCAGCUGGGGUCUCUGCCCUCCACCUCCAGGGACCUCAGCCUUGACGUCCAUCGGUGGUUCCAGCCGGGCAGCCCUGUGCACCAGAUGGCCCACACUGCCCGGGCACGGUCUGCCACCGUGAUGAUGGAUGUCCCGUCCAGGGGGACUGUGAGCUGGGCAGCCGGGAGGGGCUGCUCUGCCUGGCUGACCGCGUGCUCUUGCUGUGUGGCAGGGACCUGCUGUGACCUGCGGGAGCAUCUCUGCACCCCCCACAAC
rnacentral:lncRNA from 1 species